GGGCUCACUUUGGCAGCACAUAUACUAAAAUUGGAACAAUACAGAGAUGAUUAGCAUGGCCCCUGCAUAAGGAUGACACACAAAUUCAUGAAGGUUCCAUAUUUUU
rnacentral:snRNA from 1 species